AGAGUUUGAUCCUGGCUCAGAGCGAUCGUUGGCGGCAGGCCUAACACAUGCAAGUCGAGCGAGGUUAACAACCGAGCGGCGGACGGGUGAGUAUAACAUGGGAAUCUACCUUGAGGUGGGGGACAACAUCUGGAAACAGAUGCUAAUACCGCAUAAGCCAUAUUGGGAAAGAUUUAUCGCCUUAAGAGGAGCCCAUGCUUGAUUAGUUUGUUGGUGAGGUAAAAGCUCACCAAGACUACGAUCAAUAGCUGGUUUGAGAAGAUGAUCAGCCACACUGGGACUGAGACACGGCCCAGACUCCUACGGGAGGCAGCAGUGGGGAAUAUUGGACAAUGGGGGCAACCCUGAUCCAGCCAUGCCGCGUGCGCGAUGAAGGCCUUAGGGUUGUAAAGCGCUUUCAGCGGGGAAGAUAAUGACGGUACCCGCAGAAGAAGUCACGGCUAACUUCGUGCCAGCAGCCGCGGUAAUACGAAGGUGGCAAACGAUGCUCGGAUUUACUGGGCGUAAAGCGAUCGUAGGCGGUUAUUUAAGUCAGAUGUGAAAGCCCGGGGCUCAACCCCGGAACUGCAUUUGAAACUGAAUAACUAGAGUAAAGCAGAGGAAGGCGGAAUUCCCAGUGUAGGAGUGAAAUCCGUAGAUAUUGGGAGGAACACCAGAGGCGAAGGCGGCCUUCUGGGCUUUUACUGACGCUGAGGGUCGAAAGCGUGGGGAGCAAACAGGAUUAGAUACCCUGGUAGUCCACGCCGUAAACGAUGUGCACUCGUUGUCAGGUCCAUCAAGGACUUGGUGACUAAGCUAACGCAUUAAGUGCACCGCCUGGGGACUACGGCCGCAAGGUUAAAAAUCAAAGGAAUUGACGGGGACCCGCACAAGUGGAGGAGUAUGUUGUUUAAUUCGAAGAUACGCGAAAAACCUUACCUGGGCUUGACGUACUAGUCGUACUUAGCAGAGAUGCUUUGGUCAUUUAGUUGGACUAGAUACAGGUGUUGCAUGGCCGUCGUCAGCUCGUGUCGUGAGAUGUUGGGUUAAGUCCCGCAACGAGCGCAACCCUCGCCUUUAGUUGCCAGCAUUUAGUUGGGCACUCUAGAGGAACCGCCGCGGAUAACGCGGAGGAAGGUGGGGAUGACGUCAGGUCAUCAUGGCCCUUACGCCCAGGGCUACAGACGUACUACAAUGGUAACAACAACGGGCAGCAAUAUCUAAGAUGGAGCUAAUCCUUAAAUGUUAUCUCAGUUCGGAUUGAGGUCUGCAACUCGACCUCAUGAAGUUGGAUUCACUAGUAAUCGCGGAUCAGCAUGCCGCGGUGAAUACAGUUCCCGGGUCUUGUACACACCGCCUGUCAAGUCAUGGGAGUUGGGUCUACCCGAAGCCGGUGCGCUAACCUUCGGGAGGCAGCCGUCCACGGUAGGACCAGCGACUGGGACUAAGUCAGAACAAGGUA
rnacentral:rRNA from 1 species